CCUACGGGUGGCAGCAGUGAGGAAUAUUGGUCAAUGGACGCGAGUCUGAACCAGCCAAGUCGCGUGAAGGAUGACUGCCCUACGGGUUGUAAACUUCUUUUAUAUGGGAGUAAAAUGUUCCACGUGUGGGAUUUUGUAUGUACCCUAUGAAUAAGGAUCGGCCAACUCCGUGCCCGCAGCCGCGGUAAUACGGAGGAUCCGAGCGUUAUCCGGAUUUAUUGGGUUUAAAGGGAGCGUAGGUGGAUUGUUAAGUUCGUUGGGAAAGUUUGCGGCUCAACCGUAAAAUUGCAGUUGAAACUGGCAGUCUUGAGUACAGUAGAGGUGGGCGGAAUUCGUGGUGUAGCGGUGAAAUGCUUAGAUAUCACGAAGAACUCCGAUUGCGAAGGCAGUUCACUGGACUGCAACUGACACUGAGGCUCGAAAGUGUGGGUAUCAAACAGGAUUAGAUACCCGUGUAGUC
rnacentral:rRNA from 1 species